AGCCUCCUAUUUCCUUUCCUAUCGGAUCUUGAUAUUGAUUUUGAUGAUAGUAAAGGAGAAAAAAAAAUACACUAGAUCUCUCCUCACCUCUCAGCUGUAUACUCUAGUGUAGAGCACAGGGCUAAAUUCAAACAGGU
rnacentral:snoRNA from 1 species